rnacentral:rRNA from 1 species
CGCGCGAUUAGAGCGGCCGAUAUCCUGAUUAAGCUUGUUGGUGGGGGGUUAAAAAGCCCCACCAAGGCGACGAUCAGUAAGCUGGUCUGAGAGGACGACCAGCCACACUGGAACUGAGACACGGUCCAGACUCCUACGGGAGGCAGCAGUCGGGAAUUUUGGACAAUGGGCGCAAGCCUGAUCCAGCAAUGCCGCGUGCAGGAAGAAGGCCUUCGGGUUGUAAACUGCUUUGUACGGAACGAAACGGUCUGGGCUAAUACCCCGGGCUAAUGACGGUACCGUAAGAAUAAGCACCGGCUAACUACGUG